AUUGAACGCUGGCGGCAGGCCUAACACAUGCAAGUCGAACGAGUGGCGGACGGGUGAGUAAUGCUUGGGAAUCUGGCUUAUGGAGGGGGAUAACGACGGGAAACUGUCGCUAAUACCGCGUACCAUAGGAUGAGCCCAAGUGGGAUUAGCUAGUUGGUGGGGUAACGGCUUACCAAGCCGACGAUCCCUAGCUGGUCUGAGAGGAUGACCAGCCACACUGGGACUGAGACACGGCCCAGACUCCUACGGGAGGCAGCAGUGGGGAAUAUUGCACAAUGGGCGCAACCCUGACGCAGCCAUGCCGCGUGUAUGAAGAAGGCCUUCGGGUUGUAAAGUUCUUUCGGUGACGAGGCGUUACUCACAGAAGAAGCACCGGCUAACUCCGUGCCAGCCGCCGCGGUAAUAC
rnacentral:rRNA from 1 species